rnacentral:lncRNA from 1 species
CAGCAAGGGUGGAGAGUUCGAUUCCUGGAGUUAACACUGGGUGCUAAAAUGGAGGGGAAGCCAUUUGGUUGAACAAACGCCCAGCGAGGAGAGCUCUCUUUGCGGAAGGAGUCCAAAUGAGUUGUGGGAACCUGGGAGCCAACAAGGGCACAUCCUGCGAUUUACCUCCCUGAGCUGCUGAGGGGCCGGAGGUUCAGGGACAAGGAUCUAGUCGGACGCAAGCCCGGACACCUUGUAAAAAAAAAAAAAAAAAAAAAAAACACUGGAUUUUCAAUUCCAGUAAAAAUAUACAAUAAACGCUCAUUUUAAAUUAAAUUAAACCUUUUCACAGGGGAAAAUUUAAUGUCUUCCAAUCUAGGCAAUAAACAAAGUUGAACACUUUAAAAAUUUCCCCCACUUUCACAAUAAAGUUCAAUGACAGAAAUAGUGAAACCUGAAAACAAACAUCAAUACUGUAAAAGGAUAUGAAAAUUACCACGGAAGCAAUGACAAUAUGGCUUCUACAAGCAGCUCCUUUAUUUCUACUCAAAAGGGAAUUGUUGUAUGGCACUUGGACGGAAAACGAAGUAUGAAAAUUCCUUCCAAAUGCACCUAGCCACCCACUUCACUAUAAUCUGCUUAAAAUAACAGGAAACAAUAUAUUUCAACCACAAAAUUAACCGGAAAUCCGAGAAGAUAAAAGACAAUAAAAUCACAAUGAUAUUAAUCUGUGCUUGUAUGAACGAACGCUUAAUUGUUGAAGGAACAAAGCGAGAAGCACACAGCAGAGCGCUCUCCAUUUUGUAAACGAGGACGGGUGCUCUCAUUUUCGAAACCAAAGCAGAUGAGUGUUUUACUGUUUAUGCUGAACGAGAGGUUGUGCCAAUACCAAGGAAACUGGCAGAGGCCAUGGCGAAACUCACCACCGAUCAAUUAAGCGUUGAGGGAGAAAGCGGAGGAAAGAGAGAGAACAUUUCUUUAAAUUUUUAAUAUUUUAAUAAUUU